rnacentral:rRNA from 1 species
CAGCCGCCACGGGAAUACGUAGGGUGCGAGCGUUAAUCGGAAUUACUGGGCGUAAAGCGUGCGCAGGCGGUUGGUUAAGUCUGAUGUGAAAUCCCUGGGCUUAACUUAGGAAUUGCAUUGGAUACUGGGAAGCUAGAGUAUGGGAGAGGAUAGUAGAAUUCCAGGUGUAGCGGUGAAAUGCGUAGAGAUCUGGAGGAAUACCGAUGGCGAAGGCAGCUAUCUGGCCUAAUACUGACGCUGAGGUACGAAAGCAUGGGGAGCAAACAGGAUUAGAUACCCGUGUAGUCCCUGUCUCUUAUAC